rnacentral:rRNA from 1 species
GAUGAACGCUAGCUACAGGCUUAACACAUGCAAGUCGAGGGGCAGCAUGAACAUAGCUUGCUAUGUUUGAUGGCGACCGGCGCACGGGUGCGUAACACGUAUCCAAUCUGCCCGUCACUCGGGGAUAGCCUUCUGAAAGGAAGAUUAAUACCCGAUGGCAUGCAUUUCCGGCAUCGGAGAUGCAUUAAAGAUUUAUCGGUGACGGAUGAGGAUGCGUACGAUUAGCUGGUUGGCGGGGUAACGGCCCACCAAGGCUACGAUCGUUAGGGGUUCUGAGAGGAAGGUCCCCCACACUGGAACUGAGACACGGUCCAGACUCCUACGGGAGGCAGCAGUGAGGAAUAUUGGUCAAUGGGCGAGAGCCUGAACCAGCCAAGUAGCGUGAAGGAUGACUGCCCUACGGGUUGUAAACUUCUUUUGUAAGGGAGCAAUAAGUCCCACGUGUGGGAUGAUGAGAGUACCUGACGAAUAAGCAUCGG